UACGUCUACUUCUUCUCUUUUAGAUUUAGAGAACUCGCGGACGAGAUACGAAAGAUACGAGGUCGACGCUGUUCGAAAGUCAUACUCGACUUCUUUAGAUGUCAGCUAGAUGAAAAAAAGUGAACGACUUGUUGGAAAAGUGCAAGUGAUCGCUUAGUGAAUGUGAAACUAUGUGCGGAAUUGUUAAUCGUCAUAUCAACACGAAGAAAAUAAUCUGUUAAUUGUUCCGGAAUCAGGAGUGCUGCCGUUUCGCCUUCGCUCAAAUUGACAAUUUCAAAAGUAGACAGACACUGUUGAUUAAGCGAGCGCUGUGCUAACAAUUCUAAAAGCAGCCAAGUUUGUUCUUCACUCUUUCGAAACAACAGUCUAGUAGAAAGGAUCAAAUACAAUUAAAGUGAUUCUUAGUGUUUGCUCAGUGAAUUGUUAUGUAUUAAGUUCGAUUUAAGGCAACAAAAUGGAGACAGAAGAACUUAUUAAACUGGUAGAUGGCAUUUAUAAGGUUUGCUUCGCCUUCGUUC
rnacentral:lncRNA from 1 species